rnacentral:rRNA from 1 species
AAAGUAAGACUAAUACCCAAUGAUAUCUCUAGAAGACAUCUGAAAGAGAUUAAAGAUUUAUCGGUGAUGGAUGGGGAUGCGUCUGAUUAGCUUGUUGGCGGGGUAACGGCCCACCAAGGCGACGAUCAGUAGGGGUUCUGAGAGGAAGGUCCCCCACAUUGGAACUGAGACACGGUCCAAACUCCUACGGGAGGCAGCAGUGAGGAAUAUUGGUCAAUGGGCGAGAGCCUGAACCAGCCAAGUAGCGUGCAGGAUGACGGCCCUAUGGGUUGUAAACUGCUUUUAUAAGGGAAUAAAGUGAGCCUCGUGAGGCUUUUUGCAUGUACCUUAUGAAUAAGGACCGGCUAAUUCCGUGCCAGCAGCCGCGGUAAUACGGAAGGUCCGGGCGUUAUCCGGAUUUAUUGGGUUUAAAGGGAGCGUAGGCCGGAGAUUAAGCGUGUUGUGAAAUGUAGACGCUCAACGUCUGCACUGCAGCGCGAACUGGUUUCCUUGAGUACGCACAAAGUGGGCGGAAUUCGUGGUGUAGCGGUGAAAUGCUUAGAUAUCACGAAGAACUCCGAUUGCGAAGGCAGCUCACUGGAGCGCAACUGACGCUGAAGCUCGAAAGUGCGGGUAUCGAACAGGAUUAGAUACCCUGGUAGUCCGCACGGUAAACGAUGGAUGCCCGCUGUUGGUCUGAAUAGGUCAGCGGCCAAGCGAAAGCAUUAAGCAUCCCACCUGGGGAGUA